rnacentral:tRNA from 1 species
GAAGAUGUAGCUGUAGUAUUUCAUUUACGUUGAGAAGGUCUUGUAAGAGUGUCUUUA